rfam:Providencia rettgeri strain MR4 P_rettgeri_contig_443, whole genome shotgun sequence.
UUGAGAUGCUAAAUUAGAGAUUGGCUCUCACCACUUACAUUAAUUUUUUUGGAGUUUAUUAUGUCUCUAAGUAAUGAAGCGAAAGCUAAGAUCGUUGCUGAGUUCGGCCGCGGUGAA